GCUCGCGGAGGGUAUCGCGGAGGGACAGCAUGGGAGCUCCCGACUCCAGUAUGCAGUUUUCAUGUGUUGCGAUACAUUUAUGUCUCGAUGUGGAGUCCGCUACAGAGCACCCGCCGUGAAGAGAUCUAACGCCUGACUGAAUCCAUGUAACUUUACAGGCAGCCUUGGAGGAUUUGGACUGAGCCUCACGUCCCUACGAACAAAGGGCGAUGUAUUUCAUCGCAAUGAAAGAUUUGCCGUUCUAAUGUCCCACUUCCCAGUGGCUGCAUGCAGGAAGAAGAGGCACAGAGAAAAGAUGUAAGGGCAGCAAAGCAAGACUGUAGGAAGUCAUGUGGGUCCUAAGAUGACACAAACCAGGUGAAAUCAGUAGGGAAACGGACACACAGCAGCUUGGGAGUGAUCCGAAAGGUCUGACGCCACAGGAAAAUAAAAUGCCGUAGAUUUAUUUUGUAUGCAAAUUUAAAAACCCUUGUUUGAUCCCAAAACAUGUUUAAUAAAACUGAAGAUGAUGUAUAAAAUUCAAGCCAAAUGGCACAUUCAAGUAUUUAGCCAUAUUAAGAGUAACAUGUAUCCUAUUGUAAGUGCCCAGCACGCAGUGGGCAGUCUGUGUUGAAAGAUGAUCUGUAGGAUUUCUUCUUUAAAUUUUCUAGAAAGAUCUGCUCUUCUUGGAGGUAUUCACGGUCCUGUGGGGAGGAAAAAGUGUGACUUAUCUGGGAUAGAAAUUUGAAACACGUUUCCAAAUGUUCAACGUUUACAUCCACUGGUACAUGGUGUCUUACCUCAAGUGUGUUAAAGUUGUUUGAAAGGCUGAUGUGUAAUUGUGAGUGAGCUACAACACUUAACUGUAAUUUAUAACCUGUUUUGACUUAAUAUUUACAAUAAAAGCCUGUGCAGUAA